rnacentral:lncRNA from 1 species
GCCAUUAUGAUGGAUGUUUACAUCUCUUCAUUGAGAGCCAAUUAUCUCGCUUUUGUGUGAGGCCCAAGGAUCACUCAUGCUUCCAGGCUGCACAGAGCACUGUUGGAUCUAGCUGAACGAAUUGUUUUCUCUGUCUCUGUGCCUAGCAAAGAUCUGAAAUCUGUUAUCAACUAUCUGUCAAAUAAAUGAGCCAGAUUUAACACUAUUAUCCUGAGAGAGACAAAGUAAUCAACUAAACAUCCU